rnacentral:lncRNA from 1 species
GGGAGCGCGCCCCUUGGCCAAACCUAGCAGGACCAUAGUCACCCCAGGCGGCUCCAGGUUUGUCAUCCUAGUGCGGAGUUUCUGUCCAACCUGACUUUACAGUGGAGUCCGGAGAGCAGCGCUGCGGCCCGGAGAUCCGGACAGGGCAGUAGCUGUCACCGCCGCCGCAGGCCUGAGUUACCUGAGCAACUGCGUGUCAGGGGCCCGCCUGCGGGCGGGCGUUAGAGCUGGAGGCUGGGGUGCGCACGGCAGAGGCCGAGGCCCCAUCCUUGUCGCGGGGCCGCGGUCCUGACGACCACCAGCGCAGGCAGGGUCCCCAAGAGACCCCGCCAGUUGCGGGGGGCUCUGGCGGGCGC